rnacentral:sRNA from 1 species
GCCGCCCGCCAUUUUGACUCCAGUGUCUCGUUUGCAGUCGGCGCGUUAGGGGAACUGUCUUCCUCCGCAGGCGCGAGGCUGGGUACAGGGUCUAUUGUCUGUGGUUGACUCCGUACUUUGGUCUGAGGCCGUCGGGAGCUUUCCCGAGGCAGUUAGCAGAAGCCGCAGCGGCCGCCCCCGCCCGUCUCCUCUGUCCCUGGGCCCGGGAGGGACCAACUUCGCGUCACGCCCCUCAGCGGUGGCCACUCUCUUCUCUGUCGUUGGGUCCGCAUCGUAUUCCCGGAAUCAGACGGUGCCCCAUAGAUGGCCAGCUUUCCCCCGAGGGUCAACGAGAAAGAGAUCGUGAGAUCACGUACUAUAGGUGAACUUUUAGCUCCUGCAGCUCCUUUUGACAAGAAAUGUGGUCGUGAAAAUUGGACUGUUGCUUUUGCUCCAGAUGGUUCAUACUUUGCUUGGUCACAAGGACAUCGCACAGUAAAGCUUGUUCCGUGGUCCCAGUGCCUUCAGAACUUUCUCUUGCAUGGCACCAAGAAUGUUACCAAUUCAAGCAGUUUAAGAUUGCCAAGACAAAAUAGUGAUGGUGGUCAGAAAAAUAAGCCUCGUGAACAUAUUAUAGACUGUGGAGAUAUUGUCUGGAGUCUUGCUUUUGGGUCGUCAGUUCCAGAAAAACAGAGUCGCUGUGUAAAUAUAGAAUGGCAUCGCUUCAGAUUUGGACAAGAUCAGCUACUUCUUGCUACAGGGUUGAACAAUGGGCGUAUCAAAAUAUGGGAUGUAUAUACAGGAAAACUCCUCCUUAACUUGGUAGAUCAUACUGAAGUGGUCAGAGAUUUAACUUUUGCUCCAGAUGGAAGCUUGAUCCUGGUGUCAGCUUCAAGAGACAAAACUCUCAGAGUAUGGGACCUGAAAGAUGAUGGAAACAUGAUGAAAGUAUUGAGGGGGCAUCAGAAUUGGGUGUACAGCUGUGCAUUCUCUCCUGACUCUUCUAUACUGUGUUCAGUCGGAGCCAGUAAAGCAGUGGUGGCAGCAAUAUUGGUGUGAUUGAGGUUAUGCUGGCACCACUCGCACACAGGCGCACAAUGGUGUUAGCUGGGCAGAAAGAGUGGCAUCUCUGGCUACCGGGCUGGGGGCGACCUUUACCAUAGGAUGAAGUAACCUUGCAUUCGGCUGCAAGGUGUACUGUACGUACACAGGUGCUGGUCGAUGUCCACUUUCUGCUUUUCUUUCUUUCUUUUUUUCUUUUUUAAAGUAAUUUCCCCCACAGUAAAAUACACUGACUCCUGAGUAAAUUGAUUUUCCAGUUUUAUGGAAUUGGGAGUCUGACAAGUGAAACCAAUUUAAUGUAAAGUAUUUGGCUUUCAAAUGGUUUCUCUGUGCUAUUUUUUGGAAUUCUUUCAGAUUCCAGAGAUAUCUUACGUCUUUGAUUCAAUUUAAAAUUUGUACUUAUUUUCUUUUAGAAAUAAUGUAUUGUGUCUGUGCAGAAAAAAAAAACCAAAAAGGAUUGCUUUACUCUCCAAAAAGAGGAGAGAUUGUCUUAGGAUAAACCUCCAAGCUCACAUUUAAUAUAACAGACUGAAGUAAACAUUAGAAUCCUGUUUAGAGCUAUUCUGCACAGUUAACUACUGAUCUUUAGAAUCUAAAAUUGUAUAUGAACUUAUUCUUAAAUAAUUGAACCGUUUUAUAUUCAAAUGACUUAUGAUCGUGGUUAGUUUGGGAAAAAUAAGAUGGUUAAAUUUUGAUUUAUUGAAAUGUAAUUGUAUUAUUUUCAUAAAAUAGCAUUUUCAUUUUGUAAUGUGGUUUAACAUCCUUGUUGUUUGCCAAAGAAAUUUCAUUUGGCUGUGAAUAUUCUAUUUGCUUGCAGUAUCUGUUUCUCUUCCUAGGCUCAAGUUGGUGACCCAAGCCUAUUGUAAACAAGUGAUUAUCUCAAAGGGAGAUGCCAAUGGAGUAACAAUUUGUUAACCUUACGUUUUCUGUCUGUAUAUUUUUUUAAAAAUCUGGUAGUUUCUGGAAAAAAAAGAGAAGGGGGUUUGUAGUACUUAACCCUAUUUAUUUCCAUAUAUUUUAGUUAAUUAGUUUUUGGAAUAAAUGGAUUUCAGUAUAGCUUUGUGGUUAAAUUGCAUUGCCUUUAUUUUAUGUUUAGGCUUAUUUUUAAAUUAACAUUUAACAGAAACAUUUGAAAUAGAAUUUGCAUGUCUGCCUUAAUUAACUUAAAGACUGAUUUUAAUCUGACUAUGACACUGAGCAUAUUCUUUAAAUUACUCAUAAUUUAUAAUGCUUAAUAUAAUCUUAAUUAAAUUUAGCAGUUUUAGUUUAAGAUGUGCCAUUUUGUCCUCUGUAUGUCUGAAUGAAGCUAUAACAUUUGCCUUUUUAUUGCAGGUUUUCCUUUGGAAUAUGGAUAAAUACACCAUGAUACGGAAACUAGAAGGACAUCACCAUGAUGUGGUAGCUUGUGACUUUUCUCCUGAUGGAGCAUUACUGGCUACUGCAUCUUAUGAUACUCGAGUAUAUAUCUGGGAUCCACAUAAUGGAGACAUUCUGAUGGAAUUUGGGCACCUGUUUCCCCCACCUACUCCAAUAUUUGCUGGAGGAGCAAAUGACCGGUGGGUACGAUCUGUAUCUUUUAGCCAUGAUGGACUGCAUGUUGCAAGCCUUGCUGAUGAUAAAAUGGUGAGGUUCUGGAGAAUUGAUGAGGAUUAUCCAGUGCAAGUUGCACCUUUGAGCAAUGGUCUUUGCUGUGCCUUCUCUACUGAUGGCAGUGUUUUAGCUGCUGGGACACAUGACGGAAGUGUGUAUUUUUGGGCCACUCCACGGCAGGUCCCUAGCCUGCAACAUUUAUGUCGCAUGUCAGUCCGAAGAGUGAUGCCCACCCAAGAAGUUCAGGAGCUGCCAAUUCCUUCCAAGCUUUUGGAGUUUCUCUCGUAUCGUAUUUAGAAGAUUCUGCCUUCCCUAGUAGUAGGGACUGACAGAAUACACUUAACACAAACCUCAAGCUUUACUGACUUCAAUUAUCUGUUUUUAAAGACAUAGAAGAUUUAUUUAAUUUGAUAUGUUCUUGUACUGCAUUUUGAUCAGUUGAGCUUUUAAAAUAUUAUUUAUGGACAAUAGAAGUAUUUCUGAACAUAUCAAAUAUAAAUUUUUUUAAAGAUCUAACUGUGAAAACAUACAUACAUGUAUAUAUUUAGAUAUAAGCUGCUAUAUGUUGAAUGGACCCUUUUGCUUUUCUGAUUUUUAGUUCUGACAUGUAUAUAUUGCUUCAGUAGAGCCACAAUAUGUAUCUUUGCUGUAAAGUGCAAGGAAAUUUUAAAUUCUGGGACACUGAGUUAGAUGGUAAAUACUGACUUACGAAAGUUGAAUUGGGUGAGGCGGGCAAAUCACCUGAGGUCAGCAGUUUGAGACUAGCCUGGCAAACAUGAUGAAACCCUGUCUCUACUAAAAAUACAAAAAAAAAAAAAAUUAGCCAGGCGUGGUGGUGCACACCUGUAGUCCUAGCUACUUGGGAGGCUGAGGCAGGAGAAUUGCUUGAACCCAGGAGGUGGAGGUUGCAGUAAGCCAAGAUCACACCACUGCACUCCAACCUGGACAACAGAGCGAGACUCCAUCUCAAAAAAAAAAAAAAAAGUUGUGUUGCCUCAUACGAAAUGUAUUUGGUUUUGUUGGAGAGUGUCAGACUGAUCUGGAAGUGAAACACAGUUUAUGUACAGGGAAAAGGAUUUUAUUAUCCUUAGGAAUGUCAUCCAAGACGUAGAGCUUGAAUGUGACGUUAUUUAAAAACAAUAACAACAAAGAAGGCAGAGCCAGGAUAUAACUAGAAAAAGGAUGUCUUUUUUUUUUUUUUUACUCCCCCUCUAAACACUGCUGCUGCCUUAAUUUUAGAAAGCAGCUUACUAGUUUACCCUUGUGGUAUAAAGUAUUAUAAAUUGUUGUGAAUUUGAAGAAUCCAUCUACUGUAUUAUUGCUAAAUAUUUUGUUUAUACUAAGGGACAAUUAUUUUAAGACCAUGGAUUAAAAAAAAAAAAAAAAAACUCUAUGUUUCUGCAGGGGAUGAUAUUGGUGAGUUGCCAAAGAAGCAAUACAGCGUAUCUGCUUUUGCCUUCUGUUGUUUAUCUUACCUGCAGAUAUUAAGAAUGUAUGCAUUAUGUAAAAUGCUCAAUUAUAUAUUUUUGUUGAGUUUUUUAAUUAAAGACUUGUAAAAAAAAAA